ensembl:lncRNA
GGGCAGCAAACGACCAAUCAGGAAUCACCUUCAAGACUUCAUAGCCACGCCCUAGCAACCAUUUAGAGCACCCUAGCAACCCAAAGCAUAGAGGGAUAUCUUCAAAUCUGAAUGUCAUAAAGCCAUAAGGGUUGGUUUAUAUCAUUCAUACUGGCAAGCAGCCUUUGGAGUAUCUACAUUGGCAGCUGCCAGGCCACCCCCUAGCAACCAAACACAGUAACCUAGCAACCGUUUUGCAAGAUCUAUAUCUCUGCAUCAGAACAUCGUACAGACAUGGCGGUUGGCUUUUUUGACUCAUGCUAGCAAACUGGAAUUCCAACUUGCUAGUCAUGCUAGCAGUGAAUAGCUACAUGCUAAUAGUGAUUAGCUAAGUGCUCAAAUUGGCUAACAACAUGCUAUGAACUCUAUAUAAACUUCAUAGUGACCAUCUGUGACAACUACCAACCACCUAGUAACAGCAUAGCAACUACCCCGGUUACCAUAGCAACCGCCUAGCAACCACCUAGCAACACCUUAGCAACCACCCCAAGUACCUUAGCAACUGCCUAGCAACCACCUAGCAACCACCCAGAACACCCUAGCAACCGGAUAGAUACACCUUAGCAACCACCCCAAGUACCUUAGCAACUGCCUAGCAACCACCCAGGUUACCAUAGCAACCACCUAGCAACCACUCAGAACACCUUAGCAACCGCCUAGCAACACCUUAGCAACCACCCCAAGUAACCUAGCAACCACAUAGCAACACCCUAGCAACCACCCCGGGUACCCUAGCAACCGCUCUCACAACCGCCUAAAAAACACCUUAGCAACCGAGCGCCGAGUUUUGCCACUGCAAGCACCACUCACAUUUUCUUCAGGAAAUGUACAUUCUAGUUAUUAGUGGUGCUUGCCGAAGGCAAAGCAACACUAUUACUAUGCACCAUACUUAUUAUUAUUAUUAUUAUUAGUGGUGCUUGCCGAAGGCAAAGCAUCACUUGUAUUAUCUCACAUACUUAUUAUUAGUGGUGCUUGCCGAAGGCAAAGCAUCACUUGUAUUAUCUCACAUACUUAUUAUUCUUCUUUUUCUUCUUAUAGAUUCCGUACAAAUUUUGGCGCGUAACUAGUCCCGCAGUUUUUGUCACAGACCCGCAAAAGAGGUGUCAAAUCGUGCGGCCUAUUCGGGAAUGGUGUGCUAUGACUUUUAUAAGCGAUCGGGCGUACGAUGUUCGCACACCGGGCGAAAUAUCGCCCGAAAAAUCGCAUAGACAAUGCAUUGCGGCCAACUUUGACGGAUUGUAGCUCCGAGAGAGAAUUUCGCAGAAACAUGUGAAUCACCACAUUUGGAGAGGCUAUCAGGCUGUGCGAGAACAUACCCCGCUGUGGGGUAUAAGUUGUACCCCUGGGGCGCAAGAGCCCCCCAAAGUUGCCCCAUAGACAU